rnacentral:miRNA from 1 species
UGGGUUGGCCAAAAAGUUUGUUUGCGUUUUCCCAUAUCAUCAUGCAGAAAAACUCAAAAAGAACUUUUUGGCCAACCCAGU